UCUAGCGGUAGGCAGGAGUGCAAUUUAAAAGCAUCAGCUAUCCGGAGAGGAACAUAGCCGAGAGGGAACAGUGAAGAACUGGAGGAGUUGUAAACUGUGAAAUCGCUGUGGAGGACCCCAUCACGGACGGGAAACGGUGGACGGAGCCCCCCUUCUGCCCUUUGGGCAAGCCCCAGCCCACAGGAAACCAGGCGGCUCCGACCUACUGUACCCCACCCACUCCUGCCAGAACGCCACCACAUCUCCCCAACGUUGGUCUGUCUUCACGUGUCACAUUCGAUGUAGCUGCACAGCCCGCUGGUACCGGACGGGACCUAACAGAUCGGACUAUUGCUGCUUUCCCCUCCCCCAAAGACGGGGACCUCAUCGGGCUCCCAUCCACCCCCUGACCUGUGGACUAGUGCUGUUCUCUCCUGCCCCUUCUAACCAGCUCGCCCAAGUUGAUUGACCUACAGUGUGCUGUGUAUACCGGUAGUUAUUCACCCUACUUACAUGGAUUGCUGUGUUCUCA